rnacentral:rRNA from 1 species
CAGGAUGAACGCUAGCUACAGGCUUAACACAUGCAAGUCGAGGGGCAGCAUGAACUUAGCUUGCUAAGUUUGAUGGCGACCGGCGCACGGGUGAGUAACACGUAUCCAACCUGCCGAUGACUCGGGGAUAGCCUUUCGAAAGAAAGAUUAAUACCCGAUGGCAUAGUUCUUCCGCAUGGUAGGACUAUUAAAGAAUUUCGGUCAUCGAUGGGGAUGCGUUCCAUUAGCUUGUUGGCGGGGUAACGGCCCACCAAGGCAUCGAUGGAUAGGGGUUCUGAGAGGAAGGUCCCCCACAUUGGAACUGAGACACGGUCCAAACUCCUACGGGAGGCAGCAGUGAGGGAUAUUGGUCAAUGGGCGCUAGCCUGAACCAGCCAAGUAGCGUGAAGGAUGACUGCCCUAUGGGUUGUAAACUUCUUUUAUAUGGGAAUAAAGUGCAGUAUGUAUACUGCUUUGCAUGUACCUUAUGAAUAAGGAUCGGCUAACUCCGUGCCAGCAGCCGCGGUAAUACGGAGGAUCCGAGCGUUAUCCGGAUUUAUUGGGUUUAAAGGGAGCGUAGGCGGGUUGUUAAGUCAGUUGUGAAAGUUUGCGGCUCAACCGUAAAAUUGCAGUUGAUACUGGCAUCCUUGAGUACAGUAGAGGUAGGCGGAAUUCGUGGUGUAGCGGUGAAAUGCUUAGAUAUCACGAAGAACUCCGAUUGCGAAGGCAGCCUGCUGGACUGUAACUGACGCUGAUGCUCGAAAGUGUGGGUAUCAAACAGGAUUAGAUACCCUGGUAGUCCACACAGUA